UGGGGAAUCUUAGACAAUGGGGGAAACCCUGAUCUAGCCAUGCCGCGUGAGCGAUGAAGGCCUUAGGGUUGUAAAGCUCUUUCAGCUGGGAAGAUAAUGACGGUACCAGCAGAAGAAGCCCCGGCUAACUCGUGCCAGCAGCCGCGGUAAUACGGAGGGGGCUAGCGUUGUUCGGAAUUACUGGGCGUAAAGCGCACGUAGGCGGAUUAGUCAGUCAGAGGUGAAAUUCCCAGGGCUCAACCCUGGAACUGCCUUUGAUACUGCUAGUCUUGAGGUCGAGAGAGGUGAGUGGAAAUUUCCCGAGUGUAGAGGUGAAAUUCGUAGAUAUUCGGAGGAACACCAGUGGCGAAGGCGGCUCACUGGCUCGAUACUGACGCUGAGGUGCGAAAGCUGGGGNGCAAACAGGNUUAGAUACCCUGGUAGUCCACGCCGUAAAC
rnacentral:rRNA from 1 species